AAUGAACGUUGGCGGCGUGGAUUAGGCAUGCAAGUCGUGCGAUAACCCCGCAAGGGGGGAAAGCGGCGAAAGGGAGAGUAACGCGUGGGUACCUGCCCCUUGGUCCGGAAUAGCUGCGGGAAACUGCAGGUAAUGCCGGAUAAUAUCCUCGGAUCAAAGGUGUGAUUCCGCCGAGGGAGGGGCCCGCGUUCUAUUAGCUAGUUGGUAGGGUAAUGGCCUACCAAGGGGACGGUGGAUACCGGGUGUGAGAGCAGAACCCGGCUCACUGGGACGGAGACACUGCCCAGACACCUACGGGUGGCUGCAGUCGAGAAUCUUCGGCAAUGGGCGCAAGCCUGACCGAGCGCCGCCGCGUGCGGGAUGAAGGCCUUCGGGUUGUAAACCGCUGUCGUAGAGGAGGAAAUGCCAUGGGGUUCUCUCCAUGGUUUGCCCUAUUCUAGGAGGAAGGACGGGCUAAGUUCGUGCCAGCCGCCGCAGUAA
rnacentral:rRNA from 1 species